GGUGAACGCUGGCGGUAUGCUUAACACAUGCAAGUCGAACGGUCACUUCGGUGAUAGUGGCGGACGGGUGAGUAACGCGUGAGAAUCUGUCUUCAGGUCGGGGACAACAGUUAGAAAUGACUGCUAAUACCGGAUGUGCCUUUGGGUGAAAGAUUUAUUGCCUGAAAAAGAGCUCGCGUCAGAUUAGCUAGUAGGUGGUGUAAGAGACUACCUAGGCUCCGAUCUGUAGCUGGUCUGAGAGGACGAUCAGCCACACUGGAACUGAGACACGGUCCAGACUCCUACGGGAGGCAGCAGUGGGGAAUUUUCCGCAAUGGGCGACAGCCUGACGGAGCAAUACCGCGUGAGGGACGAAGGCUUUUGGGUCGUAAACCUCUUUUCUCAAGGAAGAUGAUGACGGUACUUGAGGAAUAAGCAUCGGCUAACUCUGUG
rnacentral:rRNA from 1 species